UUUUUUUGUAUUUUAAACGGGUCAAACAUAUUAUGUUUUAAAUGAUUUAACUAAAGAGAAUGGGUUGAACAAAUCUAACUGGCUAGAUGAGUCAAGCUUGAUCAAACGGUUUGAAACUCAGCGGAAGUGUAUGUAAAUACACCAAAACCUAAAACGAGUCCUCAUUAAUGUUUAGAAUACAUUGUAAUAAUAUAGAUAUUGUAUAACCAAAAAUGAUAAAUGAUGUGUUUGUGGUCCGACUACCCAACCCAUUUCAGCUCACACUAAUAAUUACCUGUGUUGACCCAUUGCCACCUCCACUAUAAAGUUUACAUAAUUUAUAUAUGAAUAGAGGCGUUCACACCUUAUUUUCAAAUUGUGUAACCAUCCAAGCCGUUUAUCAUGUCUAGCAACUGCAACAUCGUGUCCAGUAGCAUAUGCAACAAUGGCACAACAAGGAGCAAAGCAGGUAGUCAUCCACUUUUUACAAGGAAUGUGGUUCAAUAUUACGCACCGGCUAGCUGAACAGGUCGAUAGGGUGCGCACCAGCUAGCUGGGGAGUUUGAUUGGCUUUUACCCUAUGUUCAGGAACUGCUUGAUCAUAUCCUGUUCAAGAUGGGUCUUUCUAAAAUCAAGAUUCAAGAGCUGAUCACCAACUAAGAUGUGGGAGAACAUGCUAGGAAGUUGGAUGCUUCAUUAGAAAUUCCACAAGAAGCCAAGAAUAAUAAAGGAGCUCUACAAGCUUCGAUGUCGAACAAUGGUGUUCCAGGGUUGCCACUAAUAGAAUGUUUACCGAUUCAAAUGGCAUCAAGAUUCACAAGCCGGAUUAUGUAUGCCGAUAUAUACACUCCGAUGAUGGAGAUUUGGUAAAAUACAAACUUUUGAGGUCUAAUCUGGAUGAGGAGCGAUGGGUAUCUAUCAAGGACACUGAAAAAUAAUUUGGAUCGAUUCAACUCCUGCAUGUAUCUUUGUUUUUUUU
rnacentral:lncRNA from 1 species